CCUCGAACUCUCUCUCUUCACCUCCUCUUCCCCCCAACUCUCUCUCCUCACCUCCUAUGACUCCCUCUCUCUCUUCACCUCCUCUUCUCUCAAACUCUCUCUUCAUCUACUCUUCCUACUCCCUCUCUCUCUUCACAUCCUAUGACUCCCUCUCUCUCUUCACCUCCUCUUCCCUCCCACUCUUUCUCUUCUCCUGCUCUUCCCUCCCAUUCUUUCUCUGCACCUCCUUUCCCCAGUCCCUCGCUCUCUUUCCCUCCUUCACCAACCCUCUCUCUAUGUUACCCACUUUCUACUCCUUCCCUCAUCUCUUCUCCUCAAAAAGGUCUUCCCAAAAUUCAGUACCCCGGAAAAAGAAAAAUAAUUUAACGUAAAGGUUGUCUUAUGCUGCAAUUUCCUGUUUAAAAAGAGGGACGUUCAAAGCAGUGUAAAAGAAUGGGAGGAUACCUGGAAGCCUGCUGUUAAUAUGUCUGUGCCUAGCUGCCUGGUUAUUGUUUUAAGAGUUCCCAGUUCUGUAUUUGUUAUUGAUAUACACUGUAACAUUUUAUGAGCUUGUUGUGAUACUGUUACGGCCACUGUCUUUUUCUCUGUUCAUGUUUUGUUUGUUAUCAACUUCCUGGGUUCUGGGCAUCGAUUGUGGUUCAACUUGACUGCCUCCAUAACACUUAACUUAUAACAUGGGUGAGUUGGUGACCUAGAUUUCGUUUUCGGGUUUUUGUUUUAGAUUCACUGUUAGGUAAGGGAGCGCGCUGGCUCCGCCUUCCCAUUGCGGGGAGGGCCAGCGGCUACCAGGUUUUGGUUUUAUUUUCACUAACUCAGUCUUGUUUUUCUGUUCAAUAAACUUUGGUAUUAUUUUUAUAAACAUUGA